rnacentral:rRNA from 1 species
UACGGAGGAUGCGAGCGUUAUCCGGAUUUAUUGGGUUUAAAGGGUGCGCAGGCGGAGGCACAAGUCAGCGGUAAAAUCGCGGGGCUCAACCCCGCUCCGCCGUUGAAACUGUGUCCCUUGAGUGCGCGAAGGGUAGGCGGAAUGCGUAGUGUAGCGGUGAAAUGCAUAGAUAUCACGCAGAACUCCGAUCGCGAAGGCAGCCUACCGGCGCGCGACUGACGCUCAUGCACGAAAGCGUGGGUAUCGAACAGG